GAAAUGCGAUAACUAAUGUGAAUUGCAGAAUUCAGUGAAUCAUCGAGUCUUUGAACGCACAUUGCGCCCCCUGGCAUUCCGGGGGGCAUGCCUGUCCGAGCGUCAUUUCGCCCCUCCAGCCCGGCUGGUUGUUGGGCCUCGCCCCCCCCCCGGGGGGCGGGCCCCGAGAGAAAUGGCGGCACCGUCCGGUCCCCGAGCGUAUGGGGCUUCGUCACCCGCUCUGUAGGCCCGGCCGGCGCCCGCCGGCGACCCCCCUCAAUCUUUCCAGGUUGACCUCGGAUCAGGUAGGGAUACCCGCUGAACUUAA
rnacentral:misc_RNA from 1 species